AUACGUAGGUGCCAAGCGUUAUCCGGAUUUACUGGGCGUAAAGGGCGUGUAGGCGGUCUUGCAAGUCCGAAGUGAAAUUCCUGAGCUCAACUCGGGCGCUGCUUCUGAAACUGCAGGACUUGAGUGCUGGAGGGGAUAGCGGAAUUCCUAGUGGAGCGGUAAAAUGCGCAGACAUUAGGAGGAACACCGGUGGCGAAGGCGACUUUCUGGUCUGUAACGGACGCUGCGGCACAAAAGCGGGGGGAGAAAACAGGAGUAGAUACGCUGGUAGUCCACGCCGUAAACGAUGAAUUCUAGGUGUAGUGGGUGUCGAGUCCAUCUGUGCCGCAGGUAACGCAAUAAGUAUUCCGCCUGGGGAGUACGGUCGCAAGGUUGAAACUGAAAGGAAUUGCCGGGG
rnacentral:rRNA from 1 species